CAAGAGGUUCUCUCCCCGGGAACUACACUGAGUACUUUAAAGGUCUCAUCUCCUGGGGUUGCCACGAAGCCCUCAAUGGCAAGCCUGGCCUAGGUUGCUGGUGGGGAGGUCGAGGCCCGCUGCAGGGCGCUGCUCUGCGACCGGCGUGAGACCCGAGAGCAGGGUGGCCGGCAGGGGGCUCCCGGCGCCGGUCUUCGCCGUAGGAAGCCCUGGCAGCGGAUCGGACCGGUCAGAGGAGGAAAAGGGAAAAUUACAGAGGCUUGGCGGGCGGGAAGGGCUGCGUGACUGGGUGGAAGGGACUUGAGACUGUCGACUCGGGCAGCCCAGAUCCUCUGCCCGAGGCGACUCUGGAGAGGGACACCCCACCCCACUCCCCGCAGGGUCUUUCCGCCCCGGUUGUGAGCGCGAGCGGGCGUCUCGGCCGGGGGCGGCGCCGGCGAGGGGCGGGCGGAGGGCGGAGCGCGGUCGGCUGGGCUCCAGGAGGCUGUGCUGGGCGGGCGCUGGCCUUGUCGGUCCUCCGGGAGCCGCGGGGCGCGCAGCCUUCCUGAUGUGUCACCAGCACGUGGAGCCAGAUCGCGCCGAGAGAGCAAGCGAGAGGAACCCCGCAACUUUCGAGGGGUCCCGCAGCAGUGCACAUAUCCUCCACGGCCUGGCGGGGGCCCUGCGGCGAUCCCCAGAUCUCGGAGCAGGUCUGGAGAGGCUGGGGACUCUCGGCUGAGAGCGCACGAAGGUGCAGGAACAUCGGGGUACGCUGCCCCGGCUGCGGCCG
rnacentral:lncRNA from 1 species